CAUCAGCCAGUUUCAGCAAAAUCCAACCGGAGUAAAGAUCACAAAGAUAUUCUGGUUUGCAAAUUUAAUGGACUAUAGGGAGCCAGAGGAAAUGACCAUUAGUGUCUUUACAGAAAGAAAGGCUGCGGCAGGAACUCACCUCUUAUCAGAACCACAGAAGCAAGAAAAUGGGAGAGCAACAAGCUGCAUUUUAGUCUGUAUGUGCUCAAGUGACUCCUGGAGAAACACAGAAAACCUCCGCUCACCUUGUGGCACUGCAGGAGUGAGGUCCUGGGAACUGUAGCAUGAAAGAGGUGUUUAGUGGCAGAGUGGAACAUCCCAAAGAAGUGCAGGGCUAAAAUGACACCACUUCCCUUCAAAUUAUUUUUAGUUACUUUUUUUCUUUAUGAAGCACUUCUGUGUUACAGCUUUGAAGAUUCAAGAUUAUUUUUUCCAGAAACAACAAGUCUUAAGGCAAAAAUAAAGCAG